rnacentral:lncRNA from 1 species
CAGGGUGUCCAUUGUUCUCUCGAAGCAACUGAGAAUUGUGGAUAUUCUUCAUUAUUCCAUCAUCAUCUCAAACCUCUUGGGUAUAGUGUUUGACUGCUACUGUGACCAUAAAUUCCAAUAAAACCUAGGAAAAAAUGAAACCACUACAUUAACUGAAAGGAAGGAAGAUGAUUCCAAGUCAUGUUAUUUCCAAGGAAGCAACAAUAACUUCACUGGACCCCUGCUGAUCUUAAAGUGCAGCAUGAAAAACAGUCUUGGAGACUUCUAGAGAUGUCCGAAGUAUGCCUACAGGGAGCAAUAGGGAUAUCAGGAGAAUCUGAUGGUAGACGUAUAUUAAAAAAGCUAUUUACAUGUUAAA